rnacentral:rRNA from 1 species
CAUUACAGAGUUCCUGCCCUCACGGGUAGAAACCCCACCCUUGUGUAUAUUAUAUUGUUGCUUUAGCAGGUCGCUCUCUGGGGCGUCGGCCUCGGCUGACUGUGCCUGCUAGAGGACCCUAAACUUUGAAAUACAGUGUCGUCUGAGUACUAUUUAAUAGUUAAAACUUUCAACAACGGAUCUCUUGGUUCUGGCAUCGAUGAAGAACGCAGCGAAAUGCGAUAAGUAAUGUGAAUUGCAGAAUUCAGUGAAUCAUCGAAUCUUUGAACGCACAUUGCGCCCCUUGGUAUUCCGGGGGGCAUGCCUGUUCGAGCGUCAUUUAGACCAACUCCCGCUCCGGCGGGGUCUUGGGCUGCGCCUUUGGGCGGGCCUUAAAACCAGUGGCGGUGCCCUAAGGCUCUACGCGUAGUAAUUCUUCUCGCGAUAGGGUCCUUGCGGUGUCUUGCCAGCAACCCCCAACUCUCUAGGGUUGACCUCGGAU